rnacentral:lncRNA from 1 species
GGAAGGGAGAAGGCUAGGGUGGGUGUCAACUGAGAUUUUUUUUUGGCGACAGGAAGCAAAACUGAAGCUGAAGCAUAACUUUUGGGUUGUGUUUUUUGCCUUUAACAACCACAAGCUGAAGGGAGCCGAGCCACUUCCACCAGGCAAGUGAUUUAUCUUGUUAUAGGAAAGUUCAUUUUUUAACUAAAGAACAAGUCUGUACACACAGAAAUCCAUCAGCAAUGUUUUUCACAGGGUAACACGGUGGAUUUCACUUUUUCCACGUUUCCCUGGGCAGAUGUGAACACCUGGGUGGAGGUUUUAAGCUGUUUUCAGACCUGCUUUGUUUUCCUCUGCUCCUUUUCGUGAAGUCCUUGGAGAAAUGGUCUCCUGUCCCUGACAGCCACCCAGGCUGUGGGCCCCGAGCCAUGGAGAUGAGCCACUUGGCUUAACUCACACAGCAUUUGUGGUGCUUGUGACCUAUUAACUGACUCCAUAAAAAAGAAAGAAUGGGUAAAUUAGCAUAAAUAUUGCACUUGUGAUUUGAUUAAAUUGUGCUCGCAGCUGCCUUUGUAAUAAGGGGUGGCAUUAAGUUAAGUUUGCUGUGCAAAAAUCCUGGCUCCAAGGAAAUUCUGGGAAGAGCAGGUGCCUCACCUGGGUUUCCUGAAGGUGGAAUGACCACAAGGGUGCCCAACCUUUUCACAACCUUAUUUCGCAACCCAUUAUUAUCUGUUUUCUUGUUUCCUUCAUCUGAGCUGCAUCAUUGUCCAAACCGAUGGAGAAAGCUAUAGCUGCUCCUAAUUCUGCAACACAAGAGGUUGUCACAGAGAGGCAUCCUUCAGCCCCAGAGGUCCUCAGACUUCACGGACAAGAGGCUUAUUUAAUCCUUUUCAUAUGAACUCUUCAGAAGUGUCCUGAAGUUGCUUUAAAUUGUCAUGCCAAUGGAAGCACCGCCCGUGGCACACGGGACAAGAAGCAGCUCCAGCUCCCUCCUCUGUGCCCACGUAUGUCGGCGUUUCCUCAGCAAAGCUGUGCAUCUCCCUUUGGCUGUGCGUUAGCAGAACCCUAGAGCUGGUGUAAAUUCUUCACGUUAUGAA